UGCUGCUUCGCUGACGAGUGGCGGACGGGUGAGUAAUGUCUGGGAAACUGCCUGAUGGAGGGGGAUAACUACUGGAAACGGUAGCUAAUACCGCAUAACGUCGCAAGACCAAAGAGGGGGACCCUCGGGCCUCUUGCCAUCAGAUGUGCCCAGAUGGGAUUAGCUAGUUGGUGGGGUAACGGCUCACCAAGGCGACGAUCCCUAGCUGGUCUGAGAGGAUGACCAGCCACACUGGAACUGAGACACGGUCCAGACUCCUACGGGAGGCAGCAGUGGGGAAUAUUGCACAAUGGGCGCAAGCCUGAUGCAGCCAUGCCGCGUGUAUGAAGAAGGCCUUCGGGUUGUAAAGUACUUUCAGCGGGGAGGAAGGUGUUGUGGUUAAUAACCACAGCAAUUGACGUUACCCGCAGAAGAAGCACCGGCUAACUCCGUGCCAGCAGCCGCGGUAAUACGGAGGGUGCAAGCGUUAAUCGGAAUUACUGGGCGUAAAGCGCACGCAGGCGGUCUGUUAAGUCAGAUGUGAAAUCCCCGGGCUCCACCUGGGAACUGCAUCUGAUACUGGCAGGCUUGAGUCUCGUAGAGGGGGGUAGAAUUCCAGGUGUAGCGGUGAAAUGCGUAGAGAUCUGGAGGAAUACCGGUGGCGAAGG
rnacentral:rRNA from 1 species